UUCCUCUUCCAUACUCUGUUGAAGAUCUAAUAACACCAAAAUCAGAAAAAAGAAGCAUCUGGAGAGAAAAAAAAAGAAGCAAGGAACCCAAAAUAUACCCAACAGAUUGGAUCAUCAACCACCAAAUGACCCAUGAGUUUGCUGAGUAUAUUUCUAAACUAGAUAUAUUUAUUUUUUGCUGCAUUUGUGGGGAUUAGAAAGUUAUUUUAUAUGUACAUAUAUUUUAAUAAUUUGGUAGAUGUGUAAAUUUCUCAUAGUUUUAUCAUUUGCUUCCAUAAUAUACAGAGUGAUAUGAAAUUUAGUUUUUAAAAGAAAAUAUAUUGGCAGCUGAAAGGUUGGUACUAGGGUUCAAGGUACGGAUGAAAAUAUUACUGGUCAUCAAUACCUACAAUCACUGGACCUUAGCAGAAUAUGUCUUUGUUUGAUUUUGCUUCUGUGAAAUACCAUUUUCUUAAACUUAGGAAGUCUGCAAGAGGCUGGAGCAUAGCUCAGUGAUAGAGCACUUUUGUAGCAUGCAUGAGUCCUGGGUUCCAUACUCAGCAACACACACACACACACACACACACACACACAGAACUCUUCAUCUACGUGCUACACAGCAGUACUAUAUUUUUGCUCUGCUUAUUUACCAAUAGUUGUUAGCAUAUUAUAAGGCAAAGUAUAUCAAGUACGAAAUCACUAGUCAUAUACUUUCUAAUUUCAACCUUGCUGCUAACCUUGUAGACUGGAUAAGUUAUUUAUUCGCUUUGUAACUCAGACUUUUAUUCAAAAUAGUUUGAUUACACUCAUUAUUUUAAAUAAGUUUUAUUGGAAAACAUCUUAAAAGGGAAGGAUUUAUUCUUACCUCAAAAUUGGCGAAUCAAAUCAGCUGCGGUAUAUAUGCAUUCAAACAG
rnacentral:lncRNA from 1 species